GUAUUUUACCUUGGCAGCACAUACACUUAAACUGGAAUGAAACAGAAAAGAUUAGCAUGGCCCAUGUGCAAGGAAGAUAUACAGAUUUGAGAAGCAUCCCAUACUGUA
ensembl:snRNA U6 U6 spliceosomal RNA